rnacentral:rRNA from 1 species
AGAGUUUGAUCCUGGCUCAGGACUAACGCUGGCGGCAUGCCUCAUACAUGCAAGUCGUGCGACGGCCCCGCAAGGGGUACGGAGCGGCGAACGGGUGAGCAAUGGGCAGAUAACCUACCCCUCAGACCGGGACAACGGGCCGAAAGGUUCGCUAAUACUGGAUACGACGAAGCGGGGGAAUCCUCGUUUCGGGAAAAGGCGCCCUUAAAAGCGGCGCUGGGGGAGGGGUUUGCCUGCUAUCAGCUAGUUGGUGGGGUAACGGCCUACCAAGGCUUUGACGGCUAGCCGGCUUGAGAGAGUGACCGGCCACACUGGAACUGAGACACGGUCCAGACUCCUACGGGAGGCAGCAGUAGGGAAUUUUCCGCAAUGGGCGAAAGCCUGACGGAGCAAUGCCGCGUGAGGGAUGAAGGCCUUCGGGUCGUAAACCUCUGUCGUCGGGGAAAAAACUGCGAACCAGGAAAUGGGGGCGCAGCGAUGGUACCCGAGGAGGAAGCCACGGCCAAUUACGUGCCAGCAGCCGCGGUAAUACGUAAGUGGCGAGCGUUGUCCGGAAUCACUGGGCGUAAAGGGCAGGUAGGCGGCUUGGUAAGUCUGAGGUGAAAUCCCAGGGCUUAACCCUGGAACUGCCUUGGAAACUGCCAGGCUGGAGGUCCGGAGGGGGAAGCGGAAUUCCGGGUGUAGCGGUGAAAUGCGUAGAUAUCCGGGAGAACACCAAUGGCGAAGGCAGCUUCCUGGCCGGAACCUGACGCUCAACUGCGAAAGCUGGGGGAGCGAACGGGAUUAGAUACCCCGGUAGUCCCAGCCCUAAACGAUGGGCACUAGGCAUUGGGUCUUUGAUUCAGUGCCGCAGCCAACGCAUGAAGUGCCCCGCCUGGGGACUACGGCCGCAAGGUUGAAACUCAAA